GCAUUUCCUAGGUGAAGAAACCUAUCUUACGAGACAUGAAGCGUUUCUGGGAGACCAAGAAGCUCUCCUGGCCUCCUGGCCGUGGGCAAGUCACUUCCCUUCUCUAGUCUCAUUGUCCUUUAUCUGUUAAAAUGACAAGAUAUGGACUGGGUCCCCUGGGGGUGUGGGGGGGCUCAGACUUUUAUUAAAUUCUAAAAUCCUGUGAUCUGGAGUUCCCAUCAUGGCUCAGCAGAAAUAAAGCGGACUAGUAUCCAUGAGGACACAGGUUUGAUUCCUGGCCUCACUCAGGGGGUUAAGGAUCCAGUGUUCCCGUGAGCUGUGGAGUAGGUUGCAGACGUGGCUUGGAUCUGGCAUUGCUGUGGCUGAGGCCUAGGCCAGCUUCUGCAGCUCUGAUUCGACCCUAGCCUGGGAACCUCCAUAUGCUGCAUGUAUGGCCCUAAAAAGACAAAAAAAAACAAAAACAAAAAAAAAAAACCAAAAAACCUCUGAUCUGAUUGUUAAAGCCUGGCUCAAAUAAUAUUACCCACAAACCAGAACUGCAGAAUCAGGACAAACUCAAACUUCUGCCCAUCAGAUUCCAUUUCCAGUUUUCUUUCAGACCUCACUCCACUGAGGGGACAUUCUUGGUGGGUCUGCUGAGACAUUCAACCAAAGCACACAGUAAGUUCUAUCUAAUAAUGAGUUGUAGUCCUUUUUAUGAUAUGGUCAAAAUAGGCAAUUUAUUUAGUUUAAAAAAAAAAAUCCUAGGGUUCCUGUUUUAAAAGAUGAUUCAGGAGUUCCGGUCAUGGCACCGCAGAAACGAAUCUGACUAGGAAUCAUGAGGUUGUGGGUUCGAUCCCUGGCCUCACUCAGUGGGUUAAGGAUCUGGCGUUGCCGAGAGCUGUGGUGUAGAUCGCAGAUACGGCUCAGAUCUGGCAUUGCUGUGGCUCUGGCGUAGGCCAGCAGCUAUAGCUCCGAUUAGACCCCUAGCCUGGGAACCUCCAUAUGCCGUGGGUACAGCCCUAAAAGGAUAAAANNNNNNNNNNNNNNAAAAAAAAAAAAAAAAAAAAAAAAAAAAAA
rnacentral:lncRNA from 1 species